rnacentral:lncRNA from 1 species
ACAGGAGAGGUGACUGGCCCAAGGUCACCUGAUGAGUUUUCUGGGCUUGAAAGGAGAUCUAAAGCUGCUGGUUACACAGUCACUACUUUCUGAUGCCUCCAUCAAUAAAAUGCCUGCCACACAGUUGCUCCAGAAUGAGACCAGGAGGGGACCCAUCCUGUGGUUAAUGUGACUGUGAUCUAAUCAUUUGGCCACUCCCACCUCCACCUCCUUCCCCAAUCCAGAGCUCAAGGUCAGUCACUCAACUCUGCCUUGCCUCUCAGAGUAUGGCUGGCUGUCUCCAGCCCACUUGUCAUUCUUCUGAAAAUACCCAUGGAACCUCGUCCAGUCUCCCCUGAACGGCCCUCCCACUUGCUCCUCUGCGUGUCUUCUGGUAGACAAGCCACAAGCCCAGAGGGGCAAUUAGGGAUUAGGGGUGACAGCAGUUUGGUAUUAUUUUAGCUAAUUGCUGUCCUGUGUGUAAGAGUGCAGCAUCUCCAACAGCUGGCCUGAGGAAUCGUCCCUGUAGAAGCAGUCCCGCCUUCUGUGGGAUAGAGUCGGGUCUAUUAGAUGGGGCAGGGGCUGUGAGAAGCUGCCGCGUGCACCCCAUUGGUUGUAAAGGUUAAAUGGGCAGAGCCAUCGGGUUCUCCCCACGGUGGCUGUUCACAGUGUGUGUGUUUGAUUUAGUUUCACCAUUCUCCUUUUGACUCCCCGCGUUCCCCUGACCCUGACACACAGCACCCUGUGCUCAAAUCCGUUAUUAUCUGCCUUCGAUGGCACGUGGGCCACGAAGCCUUCUUUUCCUCUGUACUAGUUUUGGAGGUGCGGGAGGGGUACUGUGAUUGAUUUGUAUAUGGCUAUCAGAGCAGGAUGCCAAAGAUUAGUCCUUGGCUGACUGAGACUCUGAGCUCUAGAACACGCUGCAAGGUCUCAGUGGACUUCUGAGCAUGCCAACUCGGAUUUUCAUUUAUGGUGGUGUGACAUGGAUCCCUGAGCUGACUAUCUGAGCUAAGGUCGGGGCAUCGCUGGACAGGGGCAGCACGGGGAAUUGAAUGCCCAUAUAUAUCCACUCUUGGAGCUCUUUGGAAUUGAGGGAUUGGGUAGUUUUUCUUUCUUUCUUCCUCCCUCUUUCCCUCCCUCUCUCUCUCUUUCUUCUUUCUUUCCCCUUCCUUCCUUCCUUCCUUCCUUCCUUCCUUCCUUCCUUCCUUCCUUCUUUCUCUGUCUCUCUCUCUCACAUUGCUAAGCACAAACAGAGAAGGAAAAUGUCAAUUCACAUUCUUGCUUUUUUCUAAAGGAAAACCUCCCCCUUCCCGCCCUGGCCUGUUCCCAAGGGCUCACUUUCCGAGUCUGCUCAUCAGUGAGUCUGUACAAACAGCUCGGAGCAGGAAGGCUGCGGGCUCCUCACCUUCUGUGUCCCUGUCUCCUCCCCGCUCACCCCAGCUCUGAGUUCUGCCUCUGCUCUCAUGAAGGGUGUGUUGAUGGAGGGUGCAGCUCACUGGGUCACACAGGGAAGCUACAGGGGGUGUCCAAGUUCACAUGUCGCACAUUCCAGGAGAAUGUUUCUGACAUUGAGCAAUGGUACGGCUCUGCCAGGUUGAGGUCUGUCCGAUUGGAAUGCAACUCAAAAGGAAAGUCCCGGAGUGAUAGUGAUUCAAAUACUCACCUCCCCAGAUCCCCGUCUUGGUUUUUAAUUCCUUUUUAAUUCUCCAAUGACACACUCAGCCCAGCUCUCUUGCUGACCGCAUGGUACUUGGUGGUGCUGAUAAGUACAACUUCCCAAGAGAUAGGAAUGCAAAUCGUCACAUUGUGUUGAGUCAUGUGUACUCUGCAGCUCUUUCCCAAACAUUGCAUCAGACCGUAAUUGGCAGCUCCCAGGACUCCUCUGCUGGAGUGACACUGCAUGCCCAGGAAAAACUCAGUCCAUUUCUUUAAAAAAUUAUAUUUUGACCCUCUUCCUCUGCCUGGUUGUAAUAUCCUGUUCUUAAGGAAAUGGAACCCCUGGGGGAGCAAAGGCAAAACUGGUUUUGCAGAUAAGUUGGAAAAUUAUGGCUAUUGCCCUUCCCCACCCACUCUGGUCUCUUAGCAACAAGACAGCUGGUGGUAUCCACCAGAAAGAAAGAGCCCAGAGCUUGCAGAGGAGCCAGUCUGAAUUCUUGCCUGCAGCCUGAUUUAUUUAAACCUCUGCUGCAUUCCUGGGCGUAGAGACCCAGGAGUCCAGUCAAGGGAGCAUCCCCUGCCCUUCGUGUGACCUCUGUAAGUGAGCAGACAGAGGGAGAUCUCAGAGUGAGGGGGACGGUCCUCUACAAAAAUCUGCCUGGUGUGGGAAGCCAGUUUCCUUUGACUUUGGGGGAAUCCAUGUGCAAAUUUGGGCUUGUUUAUAGAGCGAGGUGACCUGGGGUGGAGCCAGGAAGGAGCACAGAGCUGGGGUCUGGAAACCAGGUCUGAUGGCAACAGCCUCUCCCUCCCUGUGCCCUCCCCACCCAGUGGUGAUUUUCUCAGCUGCAAAGUACAGUUAUUGAAUUAGAUGUUCUGGGUUGGGGGUGCUGGGACGUGUAUUUUUUUAUAGUCUUUCUAUUAUAUGAAUAUCCAUCUGAUUCCCUCCCCCAUAGUUAUUAUGUGCUGGAGCAAGAAUUCAAACACAGAUCUGAAACUCACUUUCCCUGUCCCUACCGGAUGCUGUUUUGAUACACACACACAGGCACCCCACAGCUGGAACGUUGUACCAGGCCAUUCUCAUAUCUUCAUCUAUUAAUCCAUGAGACUAGAACUGAGGGGUGUAGAGGAUUUGCGUGGCAGUGGAGACACUUGAGUUCACAUUCUUGCUUGCUCUGCCUCUGAGCAGCUAGUGGACUCAGUGUCCUCCACCAUGAGACGGGAAUAACAGAACCUGACGGCUCAGCUGCUGCCAGGGGGACUAGGUGAGAAGAUGUAUAGAAAACACCUAGCAUGGUGCCUGCUACAUAGUAAGUGCUCAAUAAAAGGGGAGAACAAUGACAGAGCGAGACUGAGGUGUUGGCUGUAGGUUCCUUGAUGGUAAAGACUUGCCCCAAUUGUCCUGUAACUUCACUACAUUUUGUGGCACACAGAAGAUAACUGUUUGCUGAGCUUAACAAAUGUACCUUCCUAAUACACACACACACACACACAUACACACACACACCACACACACACACAUAAGAUUGAUGAAUUUUAUGACUUCAUCUUGCUGGGACUUUUCAUAGGGCUCUGCAUUUUAGAGUAACUCAUCACAGCUAAGAUACUAUGUGGUUGGCUGUUUUGUGUCCAACUUAAUAAUCUUCAAGCAUUUUUAAGAAUCCAAAGUCUUGUUUCUCAAAACAUUGUUUUGGCCAGAUAUUAUUCAGGCAUUUCUCUCUGUUUCUCUGCAGCUCCCCCUUCAUCUGGCACUUAAAACACUAAAGAAGUGUGAGCAGGGCUUGUAUUACUGGCACCAUACUAAGUCCAUUAUAUAUUACCUUAUUUAAUGCUGUUAAUGACCCUGCAGGGUGGGUAUCACCUCAAUUUCAGAAGAGGUAAUUAUUGGCAGAGGUAAUUAUUCAGACAGAUAAACUAGGAAAGCCAGGCAACUCAAAUUAUAAUUGGCACAACUAGGGUUUAAGCUUAGGUCAUGUGACUCCAGAGUAAACUCUGACAAGUUUAAGCUACUGGCUUGAUCAGUGUCCCUGAACUCACAUGGUGUCCAUUGUCCUGGGGAGCACUACUGUAGCCUGUCCAAAACUUGACUCCUGCUCUGCAUGAUCAUGCCUGUCACCACCCCCUCUUUGUCCCUGAGAACAAGUGAUGGAAACUGAGGACACAGAAGCUACAGAAUCAUAAGCCAAGAGGAUUUAAAAGUUGGAAGACUUCUUCAAGAGGUCAUCUCGUCUGAUGGGUUCUAUUGGUGGUGGGGAGGGGACACGGCUUGCCUAGUGGCUUGUAAAAUCAAUUUAAUAGUUCAUAACAAACAUUUCCAAAAUGAAACGGAUGGGAUAGAGGACAUCAGAGGUAAUGCACUUGGGGUGAAGUAGUGUUGAGAGGCAGCAGUCAGGUGUCCACUGUGCGGGUAUUUGGGUUACAGCAUAAAGUGCAUUUCUUAUUGGAGAGUUGUUUGUUGAAGCUUGAAAAUGCCAGUUUCAGGCAGCGAUUUUCAAAGUUUAUUCCAUGGCAGAGGAGGCCUCCCAUACGUUAGGAGAGGAUGGGAGAGGACAAGGAGAGUAGGAGAAACCUCAGGAAUGUCCCCUGUUCCCACUAAAUUAGUCCCGUGUUUAUCCUCCUUUCAUGCUGAGUUUUCAUAUAAUAGUUCAUCUUUUAAAAAGAAACUUUAUAAAACAAAACAACAACUAACCAAACAAAAAUAAAAACAAACAAACUAAAAAAUUGAAGAGCCGCCAACUUACCCCAUCGGAGUUGUGUCGUACUGGGUAUUGAUUCAUUCCUGUGUGGCUUUCUCUGCUAAUAAAGGAGUAUGUUUGGCACUGUCAUGGUGGCAAUAAAAAAUGCAGGAAGGUUAAAAAAAUGUGAUUAUUUCUGUCUUUAAACUCUUUGGAUCAAUGAGAUAUCAAGUAGCAAGAUAUUAUAUGGAAAUGCAUAAUGAUGUUCAGAAUUUGGCAGCCCCUUUAAAAACAGAUACAAAGAUUUCUGCAAGAAGGUUGUAGAGGAAAACAUACUGGAGGUGGCAGUGGAGUUGAAAUUCAGUAUAAAGGGUUCUACUGGGGUUCAGCUCAGUAACAUAAACGUGUGUGUAAUAUGAAUUUUCUUGACAACAUUUCAUGACCCAAAGUCUAAGGUUGUUCAUUAACUUGCCUGUGAGUCAACCGUGUGGCAUGGGCCAAAACCCAAGGCAAGCACACUACAUUCAAUUUGUUCAUGGAAACCUGAUAAAAAGUCCCCCUGUGUGUGUGUGGUGGGGGGGUUCAGGGGGACUGCAAAAAUGAUCAAUGUACUUUGUAGCUUCUUCCAUAUGAGGUGGAGUCUGUUUUCCUAAUUCUUCUUUUUUACUUUGGCCCCAUGACUUGCUUUGGCUUUAGAAUGUGGCAGAAGUGAUGUGUCAUCUGAGCACCUCUCCAUUCUUGAACUCGUGGAACCCUGUUAUGGAUACGUGAUUCAGUCUGGCUGAGCCUCCUGGAGGAAGACCAUGAUGAGAGACCCCUCCUGUCCCUGCCUUGGCCUUUCUGGACCAAGUACCGCAGCAGACCUUUCAGCUGAUUUUAGAUGUAGGAGUUAGCCCAGCUGAGAUCAGCCAAGCUCAACCCAGACCAGAAUGACCUCCCUGACCUUUAGAAUUGUGAGCUAACUUUUGGAAUCCUAACAAACUCACCCAAAGUCCUGGCAAAUCCCCUCUGGGAGACAGUAUCAUGACUACAUCAGAUGGCCAGAAAUAUUAACUAGAAAUGUUCGUAAUCAUUAGCUAGAAAUGUUCACAAACUACAGUGUGCUCAGGUCAGGGUAGGGAGAAAGGCUUUGAGGACCUGCUGGAUGAAAAGUAAAGGACUUUAGCAGGAACAUGAGUUCUGCCUCCAGAGAGUUCUACAUCAGAGAAAUGGGACAAAGAAUUUGUAGCUUCUGUGGUGGAUUAAAUAAUUGGC